CCUACGGGUGACAGCAGUGAGGAAUAUUGGUCAAUGGGCGCGAGCCUGAACCAGCCAAGCCGCGUGAAGGAUGACUGCCCUACGGUUUGUAAACUUCUUUUAUAAAGGAAUAAAGUGAGGCACGUGUGCCUUGUUGUAUGUACUUUAUGAAUAAGGAUCGGCUAACUCCGUGCCAGCAGCCGCGGUAAUACGGAGGAUCCGAGCGUUAUCCGGAUUUAGUGGGGUUAAAGGGAGCGUAGAUGGGUUGUUAAGUCAGUUGUGAAAGUUUGCGGCUCAACCGUAAAAUUGCAAUUGAUACUGGCAGUCUUGAGUACAGUUGAGGUAGGCGGAAUUCGUGGUGUAGCGGUGAAAUGCUUAGAUAUCACGAAGAACUCCGAUUGCGAAGGCAGCUUACUAGACUUCCACUGACGUUGAGGCUCGAAAGUGUGGGUAUCAAACAGGAUUAGAUACCCUAGUAGUC
rnacentral:rRNA from 1 species